GGGGGCUAUACUGGGCUUGUUCCACCCGUUCCCAUUCCGAACACGGAAGUGAAAUAGCCCAAGGCCGAUGGUAGUCAGCGCUUGUCGCUGGCGAGAGUAGGU
rnacentral:rRNA from 1 species